CUCCUUGUCAUUUGGCUUCAGUAGAUUGUGCCGUGGAAAGAGAAGGACAGCAGCGGCAGCGCAGCGAAGGGAGCAGCAGUGCGCUGGUGAAAAAAAAAAAGACAAGAGAAACGAAAAUUUAACAAUGAAAUGGACGCAUGAACGCAUUGCAGUUCACCAGUAACCAAACUAGUCUUUUUAUAUUGAAGUCAAUGACGUAGAAUCGUCUGAGCAAGUGAUUUAAAGGUUAGCAGCUGGCUAAAGCGAGACAGGGCUGUGUCAUUGAGAAGGCAGGACACGUCAAGACGAGGAAGGGAGAAAAAAUAGACACUCCUGUCGGAUUAAAGAUCCCCACUUUAUAGUAUCAGAUCACCAGUUUAUUCGAGCUUCUGCGUUAGUUUGCGUUGUGAUAAUAUCUGGAACGAGUGUCUGUCCUCUCAGUCAUCGCUUGGAUAAGCCACGAAGGGCUUAGGGAGUAAGAAUAACUGUGUUGGAGCCAGGUUGAACUGGAGAACAUAAAUGGGGGAUUACGGGUUUGGAGUCUUAGUGCAGAACAACACUGGCAACAAGUCUGCUUUCCCAGUACGAAUCCACCCUCACCUGCAAGCGCCACACCACCACCAGAAUGCGACCGCCAGCCCCGCCGCUUUCAUAAACAGCACCCCGGCUGGAAAUGGCAGCAGCAGUGGUUCGACCUGGCUGUUCCCGGCGACCGGUGCUCACAGCAACAUGCAAGAUGAAAUUCUGGGCUCCGAGAAGCCCAAAGCCCAGCAGCAGGAUCUGCAAGAGACCCAAGAGAAGCAGCAGCAGCAACUCUCCCCUGGACACCAGGAGAGCGGAAUCAUCUCUGAGCUGGAAAAGGCUCGUGCCGAAGAGAGUAAAGUGGAGAGCGGGUCAUCCGACGGGACCAGCGGCAAGGAGAAGCUGCGUUUGGAGUCCCCCGUGCUGACGCCCUUUGACUAUCAGGAGCCUUCGGGACUGGGCACAGUUGCUCAGUCCAGCACCUCCUCCUCCCUGACCAGCUUCAACAACUGGUCGGCUGCUAUCCCUGCCACCCCGUCCACCAUCAUCAACGAGGACAUCAGCUUCUUCAACCCGGCCGCCUCGGCCAACAAUGGCCCUCUGCUGUUCCAGAAUUUCUCCCACCACGUCAGCCCAGGCUUCGGCGGCAACUUCUCCCCUCAGAUUGGUCCCAUCUCCCAGCACCACCCACCUCACCCCCACUUCCAGCACCCUCACAGCCAGCACCAGCAGCAUCGUCGUUCUCCGGCCAGUCCCCAUCAGCCGCCGUUCCCCCACCGCAGUGCCCCCUUCGGCCAGCUGCCGCAUCUCUCCAACAACCUGAGCAAGCCUCCCUCACCCUGGGGCAGCUACCAGAGCCCUUCGCCCUCUCCUUCUUCCACUUCGUGGAGCCCAGGUGGGGGUUACGGUGGUUGGGGUGGCUCCCAGGGCCGCGAGUACCGCCGUGGCUUGAAUGGCGGUAUGACUCCUCUCAACUCCAUUUCCCCGCUGAAGAAGACCUUCCCCAACAACCACAUGCCCCAGCAGAAGUAUUCCCGCACCAGCCCCGGCUUCAACCCUAAGUCCUGGAUGGAUGACAGCAGGAGCGAGAACGUCUUCCCUUUCCAGGACCGUCCCCGUUCAUUUGAUGGCUUCAACAUGCAUUCUCUGGAGAACUCCCUGAUUGACAUCAUGAGGGCCGAGCAAGACACUCUGAAAGGUCGCCUCGGAUUCACCCAUACAGGAGGAGACAGCCCCUUGCCCAUAAAUGCAAGGAAUUAUGGGAGGCGACGAGGACACUCAUCCCUGUUCCCGAUGGAAGAUGGCUUCGCAGACGAGGAGAGAGGCGAUCAGAGCCUGCCUGGCCUUGGUUCCUCCCACUGCUUCCCUCACCAGAACGGAGAGAGGGUGGAGCGCUAUUCUCGCAAAGUCUUUGUGGGUGGCCUCCCCCCUGAUAUAGACGAAGAUGAGAUAACAGCUAGUUUUCGCCGCUUCGGGCACCUGUUUGUGGACUGGCCUCACAAAGCAGAGAGCAAGUCAUACUUCCCCCCGAAAGGUUACGCUUUCCUCUUGUUUCAAGAUGAGAGCUCUGUUCAAGCCCUUAUCGAUGCCUGCAUCGAGGAGGACGGAAAGCUCUAUUUAUGUGUUUCCAGCCCCACCAUUAAAGACAAACCUGUCCAGAUUCGCCCUUGGAAUCUUAAUGAUAGUGAUUUUGUGAUGGAUGGAUCACAGCCCCUGGACCCGAGGAAAACCAUAUUUGUGGGUGGGGUGCCACGCCCACUUCGUGCAGUGGAGCUGGCGAUGAUCAUGGACAGGCUGUAUGGUGGCGUGUGCUACGCAGGCAUCGACACAGACCCAGAGCUGAAGUACCCCAAGGGAGCAGGGCGGGUCGCCUUCUCUAAUCAGCAGAGCUACAUUGCUGCUAUCAGUGCUCGUUUUGUACAACUGCAGCAUGGAGAAAUCGAUAAACGGGUGGAAGUGAAGCCAUACGUCUUGGAUGACCAGCUGUGCGAUGAAUGUCAGGGCACUCGCUGCGGAGGCAAGUUCGCUCCUUUCUUCUGCGCUAACGUGACCUGUCUCCAGUAUUACUGUGAAUACUGCUGGGCGGCCAUCCACUCACGUGCCGGCCGGGAGUUCCACAAGCCUCUGGUCAAGGAAGGCGGCGACAGACCUCGCCACAUCUCCUUCCGCUGGAACUAAAGCUGUCAUUUUAGGCACAUUUUUCACAAAAAUGGAAAAACUCCUUUUUGCAAUACCUCAAUUUUUCACAUUGUGAAAGUGCUGAGGACUCUUUACAACUAAGCACGCACUUGCUUGUGUUGACUCGACAAAUCUGCAGUGGAGAGAUCAAAGUGUAUUGCUUAAGGUCUUGGCUCUUGUACACUAGAUUUUAAUGGCAGCCCUAGAUUCGGAAAUGAUCUGACAGCAGCAUGGUAAGAACACGUUGUCGUUCAUAUUAAUAUUGCGCAAAAUGGCUAAAAGAUAACCUUGUCUUUUUGGUUUCCUCUCCAUAGCUGGAAUAUAAACUUCUAAUAUAAGGAGAAUGCUAAAUCUGGUUCAUGUUUAGGCUGAUCCUCGUAUCAAAAGAAUGGAUGUUUGAUGUUUAGAUAUUUUAACAUUUGAAAAUAUAUAUUCUUGAACUGCCAACUAGUUCCUAUUGUAAUCCUUAGCAUGCAUGAUGAGAAAAAAAAAAAAAAAACGUACAUGAAUUAGCUAUUGAAAAUAAUUGUUGUGGUUGUGCACCAGAUGUUUCUAAACCUUCGUUUAAGGCCACCCCACACCCUGCACCCUUCCCAUGUUAUUCUUCUAUGCCUUCCCCAUAAUCCAGUAUCAAUAGGAUUAUACACACACACAAGCGUAAAAAAAAAAAGAGAACUCUAAAUGUCAUUGGAUGAAUUUGCAGUGCAGGACGAAAGCAUCUUCUUUAGAAAAGACUUGAGAACUUCAUCCCCACUGUCUGUUUGAAGUAAAUGAAAACCCGUUUAGAGGAAGGGGAACUUAAGACUUGAAUGUGGUAAAUGUUGCAAGUUAACUUGGAGUUGUUAUGUGCAAUACUUUUUUUGAACUUUUUCCAGAUAAAGACUCUUUGCAAUGUAAUUCUUUAAUGCCAUUUUUAAUUGCCGACAUUUAAAGAAGAUGUUAAUAUGUUUUUCACAGUCAUUUUCUACUGUUAUUGUAAUCCUUUUCAUGCUGGUGUUUGUAAAAAAAGAAAAGAAAUCAAACUAUUUGUACUAAUAUAAAUAAUUGAAGUUAUUUUUAAAACAUUAAAGGUUUUGUGCUCAUUUGCUUAUUUUGUUUAUUUCAAGCUACUGUGAUUGAUUGCAUUGUAAUUAUUAGGUCAACAAUGUAUUUAGCUGUUUAUUGGUAUAUUUUUAAUUGGAAUGUAUAAUUAAUUUUUAUAAUUUUGAUCAGAUUUUUGUUAUAUUUUUGAGGUGAAGCUUUUAAUAUGUUAAAGUGUCUAGUUUUUACUAAUUGCUAUAUUGUGCUCCACAAUAUAUGGUUCACAUUUUCUGAAGGAAAAUAAAUAUUUAAAUAUCUGUCUGUUAACGAUGUUACUUAAUGGCAAAAUUUCAAUAGUUUUUAACUGUGUAUGGGAAGGUUGUUGUAUUUAUUAAUAGCAUUUUUUUACUUAAGAUAUCACCUUAAUUUUUAUUGUCAUUUCACUUUAUAAGUUCCUAUUUUUGUAUUUUUCUUUCUAAUUAAGUUAUGUUAUACGAAAUGUCCAUAUUCUAGGAGUUGGUCUGUAAGUGCUAGUGAAACAAAAAGAAAAAUCUAAUGUUAUUUAAUUGUUUGCAGCCAACUAUUUAUAACAAUAUGCAUAAUUUUUAAAUAUUUGUAAUGUGAAAUGUUGAAUGAAUAAAACUUAACUGUGACAAGA